CACGCAGGCGGUUUGUUAAGUCAGAUGUGAAAUCCCCGGGCUCAACCUGGGAACUGCAUCUGAUACUGGCAAGCUUGAGUCUCGUAGAGGGGGGUAGAAUUCCAGGUGUAGCGGUGAAAUGCGUAGAGAUCUGGAGGAAUACCGGUGGCGAAGGCGCCUUUCUGGACGACAACUGACGCUGAGGCGCGAAAGCCAGGGAGCAAACG
rnacentral:rRNA from 1 species